UACGUAGGGUGCAAGCGUUGUCCGGAAUUAUUGGGCGUAAAGGGCUCGUAGGCGGUCUGUCGCGUCGAAAGUGAAAACUCAGGGCUUAACCCUGAGCCUGCUUCCGAUACGGGCAGACUAGAGGUAUGCAGGGGAGAACGGAAUUCCUGGUGUAGCGGUGAAAUGCGCAGAUAUCAGGAGGAACACCGGUGGCGAAGGCGGUUCUCUGGGCAUUACCUGACGCUGAGGAGCGAAAGUGUGGGGAGCGAACAGG
rnacentral:rRNA from 1 species